UACGUAGGGCGCAAGCGUUGUCCGGAAUUAUUGGGCGUAAAGAGCUCGUAGGCGGCUUGUCACGUCGGGUGUGAAAGCCCGGGGCUUAACUCCGGGUCUGCAUUCGAUACGGGCUAGCUAGAGUGUGGUAGGGGAGAUCGGAAUUCCUGGUGUAGCGGUGAGAUGCGCAGAUAUCAGGAAGAACACCCGUGGCGAAGGCGGCUCUCUGGGACGGUACUGACGCUGAGACGCGAAAGCGUGGGGAGCAAACAGG
rnacentral:rRNA from 1 species